AUGCGUCACCUUGCCAUAAGCAGCAACUGGGAGGGUGAUGAGUGUGAGUUGGAGAGCACCGUGGAGCUGUCCCGUAUACGGUCAUUGACAGUGUUUGGCAAGUGGAAGCCAUUUUACAUCUCUGAAAAGAUGAGGUUUCUCCGGGUGCUGGACCUGGAAGGAACAGAAGGGUUAAGAAAUCAUCAGCUUGAGCACAUUGGGGAGCUCCUUCAUCUGAGAUACCUCUCUCUGCGUGGGUGUGGGUACAUCCGUUCCCUCCCAGAUUCGGUGGGUAAUCUGAGACAACUUGAGACACUAGAUAUCAAAGAGACGAGUAUAACUAUGUUACCCAGAACCAUCAUCAAGCUUAGGAAGCUAUGUUGUCUCCAUGCUGGUAGAGGUCCAGGGGGUAUUGAGGACAAUUGUUUCUCAAAGAGUAAAUACAUCUGUGAAAUACAACUUAGAUUAUGUGUAGCAUGCUGCUCACUGGAUCUUCCAAAAAUGGAGGGUUUUGGCAGGCGCGAGGGUUGCCAUAUUGCUUGCUGCUUCGUUUACCCUAAUAUCAUUAGGGGCAUAGAUGGUUCUGGCGUUAAGUUGCCAAGAGGGACUAGGAAACUGAAGGCCCUGUGUACACUGCGGUAUGUUCACCUUGCUUGGGGAAAUGCCAUUAUAAAAGAGAUAAAAGGUCUCACUGGCCUGGAGAAGCUAGGAGUGGUCGGUAUCAACAAGAAAAAUGGUCCAGGUUUCUGUUCGGCCAUUUCCAGCCUCAGCCAUCUUGAAUCAUUGUCAGUGCUGUCAGCGGAUAGCCUAAAUGGCUGUUUGGAUGGCAUGUCCACAUCUUUGGUAAACCUGCAGAGCCUCAAGCUAUCCGGCAGCCUAGAAAAAUUGCCGGGGUGGAUCAAGGGGCUCCAGAAUCUCGUGAAGCUCAAGUUAGAACUCAGCGAGCUAUCAGGGAACCUCGAAACCAUGCAAGUCCUUGGGAACCUACCAAACCUAUCCAUUCUGGGUUUGUGGGAAGAAGGGUUUGAGAUUGAUGUGUUCCAGUUCCAGACUGGCCUUUUCAAAAGGCUCACGGUGCUUGACCUUUUCUACUCAAAUAUGAAAAUUGAAUUAGUGGAGUUCCAGAAAGACUCAGUGCCCAAUCUUGAGAUGCUGACCCUUAGCCUUGGAAGUACCCAAAUUGCCUUCUCUGGGCUAGAACUUCUCGAAAGCAUAAAGGAAGUAUGGCUUAGUUUUCAUCAUCCCUGGGUUGGUACACCCAAAUCAUCAAAAAAUGGGGAAAAUGAAAAAAUGAGUAAACAAUUGUAUGAAGAGGUGAAAGAAGAAGAAAAGAGAAACAAACCCGGGCAAGAUAAAUUCAGGGAGGAGUUGCAGAUGCAGCUUGAUAGGAAUGAGAAUCAACCCGUCUUGAAGAUGCAAUGA
rnacentral:rRNA from 1 species